CAUGUGCAGCAUUCCAAACUAGCUGAGUCCUGAUUUAAAUGCAGGUUGGCUGCGGCUGUUCCUGAUGUUCCUAGUACAGCAACACAUCUCUGAUUAUCAUCAUCAAACAAACGUGGUAGAGUUGGGUGGUUCAGAGCCACAAUUGCUUCAUGAAAAUAGAAAAACUGUAACACAGCAUUGCAGGACUCUAUAUCAUUUUGACUCUGAUGGCCUGUUUUCAGGUAUUUCGACAAAGAACUUUGGUAAAGGCAGCGCUGCAGACAAACAUUCCAUGAUCCUUGAUAUACUGAACUGAUGACCUGGAGAAACUGCCUACCACAAUGAAGGAUAUUAUGGCUGAAUUUUCCAAAAGCAUGUUGUACAAAGUAUUCACAUGACCAGGCUAAACCACAAUGCAACUUUUGCUCACAGUAGAUAUAAGAUUAAAUGCUUUAACAUAUGCACAAGCUGGAACUCAAACUAUGCUUGCCAGCUCUUUUUGCAGGGAGAUGAUUGUCAUCUUAUGGAAAGGCUAUCCAGUAUAAACUCUUUCAUUAAAUUUUGGAGGUGUUUGGAAAAGCUGAAAUAGUGAAUCUUAGUAUUUUAAAGUGCUAGUGAUAUUGAAAUUGUGUAUAAAUUAAAAGCCUAACAGCAGCCCCUUCCUCUGUCCAAAAACUGUGAUACUUUGCUCUGAGUUUGUAGACUGAAAGCAACAGGUAGUUGCAGCAAACUUCCAUGUAUAAAAGAGGAGAUAAGCAGUGUUCCCAACAGCAGCAGUUCCCUUGGCCAGUAGCUGGUAUCAGGCGGAAGAUCCUGGCAUUGAACAGCAGCAGUCACAGACCCGAGGGCUGACUGAUAUGACAACCACAAUUUCCCAGGUUGGAAGAGGGGUUGGCCCACGGCACAGCCACUAACUGCCCAUGCCAUGUGCCCCUUACCUGGCCUGCCCCACCUCCCACGCCAUACCUCCCCCUACCCAGAACCACCGUAACUGGGCCUCUCCCUGCUCUCCCCAGCUCCUCUCCUCCCAGCCAUAUGCCACAAAUGCCUUUACAACUCAGUUAAAAACAACUAAUACACUAAAAAAUAAAUAAAAGGAUAUAAAAAACAAUUUAGGAGAAGAGGCCCUCUCUGUUGGGCAGCAGAAGAAGUUCUUAUGAAGCAGCCCACCCUGGGCCAGGUGGAGAGAGGCAGCAGCAGGGCCCUCAGGAUCUCAGCAGGGUGAUUUGGUUAGUUUGUUCAAUAAGCCAUGGUUUUAGAAUAGUACAGACUGGGUCAUAGUGUGUGUUAACAACAGCACUCUAUAGCUUGUUGCUGUGUUUAAAUUAGAAAUGCUUUAUUACACAUUACUGGUAGGGGAACAAUAGUACUGGACAAUUGCUACUAGUUUCAAAACAAACAUACUUUAUUUCAUAAAAAUUAACAUUUUAUUACUGUCUCUUUGAAGAAGAAUAAAAAGUCACCACUCCAUUCACAUUGCAUAUCAAGUAAGUGUCAUUAUGAAAACAUCAUUAAUAUGGAAAUUGCAACACUUUGAUUAGCACUUGCAGCCCCCUUUUGUAACAGAAAAAAGAGGAAGGAACUAACCAGAUUGCAGCAAUUUACAUAAUAAAAACCCAGUAGUGGCAGUGCCACCAGUAACUGAAACUAAAGCAGGCUAUCAUGUCUUUUUAAACAGUUUAAUGCAGUUUUUAAAAUGUGCAGUACAAAGGAAAAGAAAAUAUUUUUCUUUAAACUGACAAACUAAUUGAAAAGGAAAUAAAUCAUAGAUGGAUGGUGUCUUUUAGGAUCAUAGUCUCCUGUAAACUAUGAGCCUAACAAUGCGAUGUAAGCAUAUUGUCAAUGCUGCUUGACAUUUCCAAAAUAAUGUACAGCCUUACCUUGGAGUAAAUCCCGUUAACUCAAUGAUGUUUAGUUCUGAGUAAAUGUGAAUGACAUUGUGCUGUAACAAAAUUCCAAGUAAAACAGCAAUCGGUCAUAUAUUUCCUAUUACAAUCAACGCAACCCAUGUUAAAA